CCCAGCGGCUUCAGCUCCAACCGGAUAAAUGCGUGCACCUCCUGUAGACAUGCACCCUGCUCCUCGAGAGGCUUUCCCUGCUAGAGGGAUGUGUCUGUCAACUGAGCAAUCAACAUUAAAAGAGAGGGUGCCAGGUGUUGAUGAGCGAAGUGAGGCUGUCGCUGUUGCUGUGGAGGAUUCUGCAUCGACCAACUCGGACAGGACCUGAUGAUAUGAAGCGUCUAUACACAUUUGCGAAUGAACUGGCUUGUCAAGACUAGACAAAUUUCAUACAGUUUUUGUGGAGUACCCAGACAGCGUGUUUCUGAAACCCUGAUGCAUUUGGCAUUCUUUAAGAGUGUCAACUUUGUGUGUUGUCAGUGUGAGUGCAACAGCAUCGUUUUCUGAUCAAACAGGCAAACUCUGCUUGAUGCACAGUUGUUGUGUUGUUUUGAAGUCAGCGCUCAAAGCAUUCAGCUCCUGACAGUGCUGAUGAAUACCUGAAUUAUUUAUCCUGAAGGGUAAUACAAUAUGCUCUGACAACCCCAAUUCCAAUGAAGUUGGGACACAGUGGUAAACAUGACCCUGUCCCAGCAUUUUUGGAACGUGUUGCAGCCAUAAAAUUCAAAGUUAAUGAUUAUUUGCUAAAAACAAUAAAGUUUAUCAGUAUGAACAUUAAAUAUCUUGUCUUUGUAGUGUAUUCAAUUAAAUAUAGGUUGAACAUGA